rnacentral:rRNA from 1 species
UACGGAGGGGGCUAGCGUUGUCCGGAAUCAUUGGGCGUAAAGAGCGUGUAGGCGGCUCGGUAAGUCCGCUGUGAAAGUCCAGGGCUCAACCCUGGAAUGCCAGUGGAAACUGUCGAGCUAGAGUCCGGAAGAGGCGAGUGGAAUUCCUGGUGUAGCGGUGAAAUGCGCAGAUAUCAGGAGGAACACCAAUGGCGAAGGCAGCUCGCUGGGACGGUACUGACGCUGAGACGCGAAAGCGUGGGGAGCAAACAGG